AACACAAAUCAAAACACUUUCUAACUAAUCUAAGACUUCAAAUUAAAGGGAGAUUUGUUUUGGACGAAAAUUUAACACAAAACAGAAACUUGAAACUAAACAGAUUGUAAAAACGAUUUUGGUGAAAUAGAUGGAUAAAAGGCUAGUUAGGAGGUUCUUCUCCACACAUGUCACACUUGCAAACAAAACGAUUUUCAGUUGUUCUUCCAAUAAAUUAUAAAUACUCAACGCCCCAGAUUUACCGUGAAUUGCACUAAUUAACCCUCAGUUUUUCCACAAGUUAUU
rnacentral:lncRNA from 1 species